GACGAACGCUGGCGGCGUGCUUAACACAUGCAAGUCGAACGAAGUGGCGAACGGGUGAGUAAUACGUGGGUAACCUGCCCUCCUUUUUGGGAUAAGCCUUUGAAACGGGGUCUAAUACCGAAUAGAGGGGGCUGGGCGCGCGGCCUAUCGGCUUGUUGGUGGGGUGAUGGCCUACCACGGCGGUGCCGGGUAGCCGGCCUGAGAGGGUGACCGGCGACAUUGGGACUGAGAUACGGCCCAGAGUCCUACGGGAGGCAGCGGUGGGGAAUAUUGCACAAUGGGCGGAAGCCUGUUGCAGCGACGCCGCGGGUGGGAUGACGGCCUUCGGGUUGGAAACUCCGUUCACCAUCGACGCGGUAGAUGGAGAAGAAGCACCGGCUAACUACGUGCCAGCAGCCGCGGUAAUUC
rnacentral:rRNA from 1 species